CAACUCAGGUGAGUUAGGGUCUGGUCCACAUGUGGUAUACAAAUCAAAUCCUGAGAGGACAUUAAAUGGAGAAUCCCAAACCCAGGGCCACCACCCCCUGCUGUUUUGCUGUUGCGGUUGCUAUCACAGGCCUCUAAGACUUUACAUCUGGCAACUGAAAUUGGGCAUCAGAAAGUAUGUGCAACUUCGUGGUGAGAACAUUCGGGUUGCUUGUGGUUUUAAGUCAGUGACCAGCCACACACAUCUGGCAAUUUUGGGGUGGUGUUAAGUUAUAAAGGAGCCAGAACAAAGUGCUUACCCACUAUUUCAGGAGUCUCUUACUUCGGAUACAAUCUGUCUUUGGAGCUGUGCAGCUGGAACUCUGGAAACCAUUUGAAAGACCUUUUGAACAGCACCCCCUUUUGUGUGUGUGUGUGUGUGUUUGUGUGUGUAUGUGUGUGUGUGUGCGCGCGCACGCGUCCAAAUAUUCUCCCAGUACAUAACAAGUACAUACUAUACUAAUGUCAGACCCAUGGACCCCAGAGCUCCUGGUUUGCAGUCAUCCAAAAAAAGAGCUAGCUUUGAAGAAUGCUGGGCGCACUCAGCCAUGCCCACAACCUAGCCAAGCAUAGGGUUGUUUCAGCCUGAGGAAUUUGGGCUCCUUGACAAAUCUGGAUUUGCCUGCACUGGGCCUAGUUGGGGAGCAGUAAGUCUUUCCAGGAGAUAAUGGGAACACUGGGAUCUUGAGGUCCUGGGUCUCAGGCACCUCACUUCCAGGAAUUGAAAAGGAACAGCUAGACCAAAAGCACCAGGGGUCGGUCCUGGGUCAUUAACACCACAGAGAAACUACGACCUCAAAACUUACCAGCAAGCCUCUGCUUACUAAGAAGUGUGUCCAUCUAUACAAAAGGGUCCUGUGACCCAUUUAAAUAGUGACCACAUGGCCCCAGCACCUUAGACAGGCUCAGGUAGACUUGAGUCCAGAGCUCAGCGACUCAAGGGUUUCAAGGCCCAGAAAUGUCGCUUCCAAGGGAGUCCCAGCACUGUUCAAGGCUAUUUGGCCUUCAAACCUGUCCUUGCUCCUAGGACGUAGAUCCUCAGGGCAGCAACUAAGCCCAUGCUGGAGGCCACAGCCACCCUUGACAAACUGCAGAGUCAUUCUCAGAACUCAAGGAUUGGGGUAGAUCAAAUGAACUUUGUCACCUGGCCUUCUAGUGCAGGUUUUGAUUAGCCAUUUCCAGAGGACCCAGAUGAGGGUGCCAACUGAGAGUGGAUUUGUGCCAAGAAGAAGAGCCUCUACGUCAUCACGCAGGAACACCAUACCAUGCAUCGAACUGACCAGAGACACAGUUGCCUCUGCUGAGCACUGGGCAUGGGGUAUGCCAUUAAGUCCCCCAGAGGGACAGGGAUCUGUGAGGAUCUUCACAAUUACUACCUGAAGAGGUCCUGGGUCUCUGGACAAGCCCCAAGACAUCAAGUCAGAGGACUACCCGCCCCCACCACAGUCCCUACCAACUAAGCUGCACUGAGGCAGCCAAAAGUCACGUAGUAGACAGCUGCAGCAGAGAGUCUCAUCUCCCACAAUAGCGAGAUACUCAGCCUCUGAGAGACGAUGUCUGGACACACAGAACAAGGCUGUGUCCUCUUGUCCCUGGUGGCACAGGCAGCAUACUCUCUGGUUCUGUUGGUGAAGACACUUUGGAUGGGACAAAAUGGGGUAAGGGAAAUUCCCUACCCCAAAAUGAGGGCCAUAAAAUGGCACCAACCUCUCACACCAAUAAAGUCUGUUCUCGCCAUUCUGAA